AUUGAACGCUGGCGGCAGGCUUAACACAUGCAAGUCGAGCGGGGUGAUGGUGCUUGCACUAUCACUUAGCGGCGGACGGGUGAGUAAUGCUUAGGAAUCUGCCUAUUAGUGGGGGACAACACCUCGAAAGGGAUGCUAAUACCGCAUACGUCCUACGGGAGAAAGCAGGGGAUCACUUGUGACCUUGCGCUAAUAGAUGAGCAUAAGUCGGAUUAGCUAGUUGGUGGGGUAAAGGCCUACCAAGGCGACGAUCUGUAGCGGGUCUGAGAGGAUGAUCCGCCACACUGGGACGGAGACACGGCCCAGACUCCUACGGGAGGCAGCAGUGGGGAAUAUUGGACAAUGGGGGGAACCCUGAUCCAGCCAUGCCGCGUGUGUGAAGAAGGCCUUAUGGUUGUAAAGCACUUUAAGCGAGGAGGAGGCUCUUUUGGUUAAUACCCAAGAUGAGUGGACGUUACUCGCAGAAUAAGCACCGGCUAACUCUGUGCCAGCCGCCGCCGUAA
rnacentral:rRNA from 1 species